GGCCUUGACAUACUAAGAACUUUCCAGAGAUGGAUUGGUGCCUUCGGGAACUUAGAUACAGGUGCUGCAUGGCUGUCGUCAGCUCGUGUCGUGAGAUGUUGGGUUAAGUCCCGCAACGAGCGCAACCCUUUUCCUUAUUUGCCAGCGGGUCAUGCCGGGAACUUUAAGGAUACUGCCAGUGACAAACUGGAGGAAGGCGGGGACGACGUCAAGUCAUCAUGGCCCUUACGGCCAGGGCUACACACGUGCUACAAUGGUCGGUACAAAGGGUUGCUACCUCGCGAGAGGAUGCUAAUCUCAAAAAGCCGAUCGUAGUCCGGAUCGCAGUCUGCAACUCGACUGCGUGAAGUCGGAAUCGCUAGUAAUCGCGGAUCAGAAUGCCGCGGUGAAUACGUUCCCGGGCCUUAUACACACCGCCCGUCACACCAUGGGAGUUUGUUGCACCAGAAGUAGGUAGUCUAACCGCAAGGAGGACGCUUACCACGGUGUGGCCGAUGACUGGGGUGAAGUCGUAACAAGGUAGGCGUAGAUGA
rnacentral:rRNA from 1 species